AACAACACAGCUUCACCUUCCCAUAACCAAAGCAGCCAACACUCUCACUAACUUCGGGGGAACUUCGAGUCUCACUCCUCUCCUCGGUGCCUUUGUCGCCGACUCCUUCGCCGGCCGCUUUUGGACCAUCACGUUCGCUUCGAUCAUCUACCAAAUAGUAUGUUAAUAUAUAACUUAUAUUCAAGAAAUGUAUGAGAAGUCACUCAACCAUUGGUUCUAACGAGUAAGUAAAUAAACAAAACAGGGGAUGACACUACUGACCAUAUCAGCAAUACUUCCGACGCUAAGGCCACCACCAUGUACAGGAGAAGAGGUUUGUG
rnacentral:lncRNA from 1 species